GACGAACGCUGGCGGCGUGCCUAAUACAUGCAAGUAGAACGCUGAAGGAGGAGCUUGCUUCUCUGGAUGAGCUGCGAACGGGUGAGUAACGCGUAGGUAACCUGCCUGGUAGCGGGGGAUAACUAUUGGAAACGAUAGCUAAUACCGCAUAAUAGCAGUUGUUGCAUGACAACUGUUUGAAAGGUGCAAUUGCACCACUACCAGAUGGACCUGCGUUGUAUUAGCUAGUUGGUGGGGUAACGGCUCACCAAGGCGACGAUACAUAGCCGACCUGAGAGGGUGAUCGGCCACACUGGGACUGGGACACGGCCCAGACUCCUACGGGAGGCAGCAGUAGGGAAUCUUCGGCAAUGGACGGAAGUCUGACCGAGCAACGCCGCGUGAGUGAAGAAGGUUUUCGGAUCGUAAAGCUCUGUUGUAAGAGAAGAACGAGUGUGAGAGUGGAAAGUUCACACUGUGACGGUAUCUUACCAGAAAGGGACGGCUAACUACGUG
rnacentral:rRNA from 1 species